rnacentral:rRNA from 1 species
CGUAGGGUGCGAGCGUUAAUCGGAAUUACUGGGCGUAAAGCGUGCGCAGGCGGUUUUGUAAGACAGAUGUGAAAUCCCCGGGCUCAACCUGGGACCUGCAUUUGUGACUGCAAGGCUAGAGUACGGUAGAGGGGGAUGGAAUUCCGCGUGUAGCAGUGAAAUGCGUAGAUAUGCGGAGGAACACCGAUGGCGAAGGCAAUCCCCUGGGCCUGUACUGACGCUCAUGCACGAAAGCGUGGGGAGCAAACAGGAUUAGAUACCCUGGUAGUCCACGCCCUAAACGAUGUCAACUGGUUGUUGGGUCUUCACUGACUCAGUAACGAAGCUAACGCGUGAAGUUGACCGCCUGGGGAGUACGGCCGCAAGGUUA